rnacentral:tRNA from 1 species
GCCUAGAUGGCUCAGUCAGUUGAGCAUCUGACUUCUGCUCAGGUCUUGAUCUCCCCGUUUGUGGGUUCAAGUCCCGCACUAGGCU